rnacentral:rRNA from 1 species
AUCUAUGGCCAUACCACCUUACACGUGCCCGAUCUCAUCUGAUCUCAGAAGCUAAGCAGAGUUGGGCCUGGCUAGUACUUGGAUGGGAGACUGGCUGGAAUACUGGGUGCUGUAGGCU